rnacentral:tRNA from 1 species
AAGGUUUUAAGUUAAAUAAACUAAUAGCCUUCAAAGCUAUAAAUAAAGAAUCUCAAUCCCUUUAAGCCUUA